AACGAACGCUGGCGGCACGCCUAACACAUGCAAGUCGAGCGCUUCCCUUCGGGGAGGAGCGGCGGACGGGUUAGUAACGCGUGGGAACAUACCCUUUACUAAGGAAUAGCCACUGGAAACGGUGAGUAAUACCUUAUACGCCCUUCGGGGGAAAGAUUUAUCGGUUAAGGAUUGGCCCGCGUUAGAUUAGAUAGUUGGUGGGGUAAUGGCCUACCAAGUCUACGAUCUAUAGCUGGUUUGAGAGGAUGAUCAGCAACACUGGGACUGAGACACGGCCCAGACUCCUACGGGAGGCAGCAGUGGGGAAUCUUAGACAAUGGGCGCAAGCCUGAUCUAGCGAUGCCGCGUGAGUGACGAAGGCCUUAGGGUCGUAAAGCUCUUUCGCCUGUGAUGAUAAUGACAGUAGCA
rnacentral:rRNA from 1 species